UGGGCUAUAGCCAAGCGGUAAGGCACUGGACUUUGACUCCAGCAUUCCGUUGGUUCGAAUCCAACUAGCCCAACCA
rnacentral:tRNA from 3 species